AACGAACGCUGGCGGCGCGCCUAAUACAUGCAAGUCGAGCGAGAAGACGUAGCAAUACGUUUGUAAAGCGGCGAACGGGUGAGGAAUACAUGGGUAACCUACCCUCGAGUGGGGAAUAACUAGCCGAAAGGUUAGCUAAUACCGCGUACGCUCCUUGGACUUCGGUUCAGGGAGGAAAGCGAUACCGUGGGUAUCGCGCUCUUGGAUGGGCUCAUGUCCUAUCAGCUUGUUGGNGAGGUAACGGCUCACCAAGGCUUCGACGGGUAGUUGGUCUGAGAGGACGAUCAGCCACACUGGCACUGCGACACGGGCCAGACUCCUACGGGAGGCAGCAGUAAGGAAUAUUGCGCAAUGGGCGAAAGCCUGACGCAGCGACGCCGCGUGGGGGAUGAAGGUCUUCGGAUUGUAAACCCCUUUCGGGA
rnacentral:rRNA from 1 species